GCCCUCGCCCAUUCUAAAAAGUCAGCGCCCUCAGGACCGCAGAGCUUAGAAGCAAAGUUAAGAGACUCAUCAGAUUCUGAGCUGCGGCGGGAUAUUUUGCAGAAGACUGUGAAGCAUCCUGUGUGUGUGAAGCACCCGCCGUCAGUCAAGUAUGCCCGGUGCUUUCUCUCAGAACUCAUGAAAAAGGCCAGGCCAGGAUCAGAUGGGAAGUGGAAGCUUGUCAUGACCAGAAACUGUUUCCCUACAAAGAGCACUUGGAGAUGGCAAUGCUGAACCUAAUACUGUAGGACUCACACGCGACUUCAACGGGAUUGUGAGGAUCAAGUCACUCUCAUGGGAAGAAUUUUUACAUGGGAAAGCGGAUAAAACUUUCAUUGGACUGGAAUGUUUGGAGAAUAUUAAUUUCCAAAUCAGGAACCACAAACUGCCCUCUAAUAAGACAUCGGCUAUCUAAGCGUGUGGGUGCCCCCUUUCUGCCAGCAGUUCUGGUUCUUAAGAAAAUCACCAUAAAUCAGACAUGAAAAUUC
rnacentral:lncRNA from 1 species